AACGAACGCUGGCGGCAGGCUUAACACAUGCAAGUCGAACGCAUCCUUCGGGGUGAGUGGCAGACGGGUGAGUAACGCGUGGGAACGUGCCCUUCAGUUCGGGAUAACCCAGGGAAACUUGGGCUAAUACCGGAUACGUGCGAGAGCAGAAAGAUUUAUCGCUGAAGGAUCGGCCCGCGUCUGAUUAGCUAGUUGGUGGGGUAAUGGCCCACCAAGGCGACGAUCAGUAGCUGGUCUGAGAGGAUGAUCAGCCACAUUGGGACUGAGACACGGCCCAAACUCCUACGGGAGGCAGCAGUGGGGAAUAUUGGACAAUGGGCGCAAGCCUGAUCCAGCUAUGCCGCGUGAGUGAUGAAGGCCUUAGGGUUGUAAAGCUCUUUCGUCCGGGACGAUAAUGUCGGUACCGGAAGAAGAAGCCCCGGCUAACUUCGUGCCAGCCGCCGCAGUAA
rnacentral:rRNA from 1 species